rnacentral:rRNA from 1 species
CGUGUAGGCGGGAGAUUAAGUCAGAUGUGAAAUUCCCAGGCUCAACUUGGGCGCUGCAUCUGAAACUGAUUUUCUUGAGUGAUGGAGAGGAAAGCGGAAUUCCUAGUGUAGCGGUGAAAUGCGUAGAUAUUAGGAGGAACACCAGUGGCGAAGGCGGCUUUCUGGACAUUAACUGACGCUGAGGCGCGAAAGCGUGGGGAGCAAACAGGAUUAGAUACCCUGGUAGUCCACGCUGUAAACGAUGGAUACUAGGUGUAGGAGGUAUCGACCCCUUCUGUGCCGGAGUUAACACAAUAAGUAUCCCACCUGGGGAGUACGGCCGCAAGGUUGAA